UCAGCAUUAUGCAAUGUAUCCAUGUAACCUUCAUGCGUACCCACUGAAUGUAAAAGUUGAAAUUGUCUUUUAAAAUUGCAGUUUCCUGAACGCAGUAACUAAAACCAUGGAACUUCUAGAUGAAAACAUGCGAAAAAAUCCUUACGACCUUGAGUUAGGCAAAGAUUUCUUGGAUAUGACACCAAAAGCAUUAUUAAUUUAAAAAAUAAAUUGACAUAGAACUCUUACAUCUCAAUAAAAUAAUCCAAUUAAAAACGUGUAUUUCUCACUGUGGCCUUUUUACUAUUUACUUGAACUUCUGGUUUGAGAUGUUUCCACUCUGUUUGCAAUCAGAUUUCUAGACUAUUUAGACUUUUUAAUCCUUUAAAGGCAGGAAACUUUCUUGGGAUUUUAAGGAGUUCACAAUAUCUAUGGAGUGAGUAAUUUGUUGAGUGGGCCUGGGCUCAGAAGGUAGGACUACAUGCAGUAUAACACAGUUGUGCAGUGCACAUCCUGAACAGUCAUGCA
rnacentral:lncRNA from 1 species